CACGUAGGGUGCGAGCGUUGUCCGGAAUUAUUGGGCGUAAAGAGCUCGUAGGCGGUUUGUCGCGUCGAAUGUGAAAACCCGGGGCUCAACCCCGGGCCUGCAUUCGAUACGGGCAGACUAGAGUUCGGUAGGGGAGUCUGGAAUUCCUGGUGUAGCGGUGAAAUGCGCAGAUAUCAGGAGGAACACCGGUGGCGAAGGCGGGACUCUGGGCAGUAACUGACGCUGAGGAGCGAAAGCGUGGGGAGCGAACAGG
rnacentral:rRNA from 1 species